rnacentral:rRNA from 1 species
UACAGAGGGGCAAGCGUUAUUCGGAAUUAUUGGGCGUAAAGGGCGCGUAGGCGGCCUGGCAAGUGGAUGGUGAAAUCCCUCGGCUUAACCGAGGAACUGCCAUCCAGACUGCUUGGCUUGAGGCCGGGAGGGGGUAGCGGAAUUCCCAGUGUAGCGGUGAAAUGCGUAGAUACUGGGAGGAACACCAGUGGCGAAGGCGGCUACCUGGACCGGUUCUGACGCUGAUGCGCGAAAGCGUGGGUAGCAAACAGG